rnacentral:hammerhead_ribozyme from 1 species
AUCUAGCUGACAAGUCUCACACAGGACCAAACACAUGUCUUGGAU